rnacentral:rRNA from 1 species
CAGUCGCCGCGGGAAUACGGAGGGCGCGAGCGUUACCCGGAUUUACUGGGCGUAAAGGGCGUGUAGGCGGCCUGGGGCGUCCCAUGUGAAAGGCCACGGCUCAACCGUGGAGGAGCGUGGGAUACGCUCAGGCUGGAGGGUGGGAGAGGGUGGUGGAAUUCCCGGAGUAGCGGUGAAAUGCGCAGAUACCGGGAGGAACGCCGAUGGCGAAGGCAGCCACCUGGUCCACUUCUGACGCUGAGGCGCGAAAGCGUGGGGAGCAAACCGGAUUAGAUACCCCUGUAGUCCCUGUCUCUUAUAU